rnacentral:rRNA from 1 species
AGUGAACGCUGGCGGUAGGCCUAACACAUGCAAGUCGAACGGCAGCACAGUAAGAGCUUGCUCUUACGGGUGGCGAGUGGCGGACGGGUGAGGAAUACAUCGGAAUCUACUUUUUCGUGGGGGAUAACGUAGGGAAACUUACGCUAAUACCGCAUACGACCUACGGGUGAAAGCAGGGGAUCUUCGGACCUUGCGCGAUUGAAUGAGCCGAUGUCGGAUUAGCUAGUUGGCGGGGUAAAGGCCCACCAAGGCGACGAUCCGUAGCUGGUCUGAGAGGAUGAUCAGCCACACUGGAACUGAGACACGGUCCAGACUCCUACGGGAGGCAGCAGUGGGGAAUGUUGGACAAAGGGCGCAAGCCUGAUCCAGCCAUACCGCGUGGGUGAAGAAGGCCUUCGGGUUGUAAAGCCCUUUUGUUGGGAAAGAAAAGCAGCAGGUUAAUACCCCGCUGUUCUGACGGUACCCAAAGAAUAAGCACCGGCUAACUUCGUG